AGAAGGCAGGUCAACGUGAGAUA
rnacentral:siRNA from 1 species